AGCUCCAAUAGCGUAUAUUAAAGUUGUUGCGGUUAAAAGCUCGUAGUUGGAUUUCUGUCGAAAGCGGCCGGUCCGCACUAUGUGCGUGUAUCUGGUGCGGUUUUGGCAUCCUUUUGAAGAACGUGUCUGCGCUUCGCUGCGUGGCGCGGUAUUCAAGACUUUUACUUUGAGGAAAUUAGAGUGUUCACGGCAGGCAACCGCCUUGAAUAUAUUAGCAUGGAAUAAUAAUAUAGGAUUCUGGUUUUAUUUUGUUGGUUUCUAGAACUAGAAUAAUGAUUAAUAGGGAUAAUUGGGGGCAUUUGUAUUAACGCGUCAGAGGUGGAAUUCUUGGAUUGCGUUACGACAAACUACUGCGAAAGCAUUUGCCAAGGAUGUUUUCA
rnacentral:rRNA from 1 species